AGAGAGAGUUGGACAGCGGCACAGCGCCUUUUGGCGUGGUGAGGAAAGUCCGGGCUUCACAGGGCAGGAUACCUGCUAACGGCAGGCCGAGGCGACUCGAGGGAAAGUGCAACAGAAAGAUACCGCCGCCGUAUCACCGGAUACUAUCCGGUAGACGGCGGUAAGGAUGGAAAGGCGGGGUAAGAGCCCACCGGAAUGCAGGUGACUGCAUUGCCAUGUAAACCCUAUCCGAAGCAACACCAGCUGGAACGAUACGGCUGCCCGCCGUGUUCCGAAAGGUGGCUAGAGCCAUGCGGCAACGCAUGGGCCAGAAAGAUCGUUGUUCACGACAGAACCCGGCUUAUAGAUUCCCUCUCUGU
rnacentral:RNase_P_RNA from 1 species